ensembl:miRNA microRNA 127
CUCGCUUUGAUCACUGUCUCCAGCCUGCUGAAGCUCAGAGGGCUCUGAUUCAGAAAGAUCAUCGGAUCCGUCUGAGCUUGGCUGGUCGGAAGUCUCCUCAUCUGCUUCCUUCGGGUU